AGACAGUAAUGAAUCAGUGGAGAUGUUAUAUGCUGCUUUGAAGUUAAUGACAUGAGAACCUGGGCAGACCUCUGACGACAGCUAAUAAUAUUCAUACUCAACUACAAGCCCCAGACUCCAAACCAUAUCCUUGUGGAGGAAUUUCCCAGGAACCCAUACAAAGAAUGAAUUUCGAUGACUUUGCAGAAGAAAUGGAUUCCAAAGUGAAAUGCUCACAAUCGUUGGGCCCCCAUAGAGGUUGUUUUGAACAUAAAUAUUUUACAUUUUUCAAUAAUAUUUUUUUUUACAGAUAAAAGUGUUAUAUCUCGUUUGCACUCCUUCAGAAGAACCUUCAAAAAUUGUGGUACCGUCACCAUCGUCUGGCGGCCACGCAGGUAUUAUGUAUAGUAUAAUGUAAAUAUAUUAGUAUUUGCUUUAAAAAAAAUACAUUUAUGUAUUUUAGAUAUAAUGGAUGCCAUUGGGACAAAGGUAGCAAAACUCAUAAGUGGUGUUGAAGACCGUCUCACUGUCAUUGAAAAGGCCUUAAAAGCUUAAAAGACAAAAAAAGGCCGAGGUGCAAGCACAAAGUAAGCUAUUGCGCGAAUGCCGCGUCAUAGCGGAAAAUACGCACCAUUCAAUUAGCCACAUCACCGGUGACUUGGUAGAGAUCGUGCGCUUCGUGGAAGACAAAAUUUCAUAAAAAGAAAACACAUAUUACAUAUGUACAUGUUAGUUAUAAGUUGUGCAUAUUAAUUUUAAGUUGCAUGUAUUAGUUAUAAGUUGUACAUAUUAGUUUUAAGUUGUAGUUUCUAGUUUUACUUUAUAUAUGGUGCAGAGGCUUGGACGAUGUCAACAAGGCUGUACGAGAUUUACGACGACAUUGACAUAGUACAGCGAAUUAAAAGACCGCGGCUACGCUGGCUAGGGGUCAUGUUGUCCGGAUGGAUGAAAAUACUCCAGCUCUGAAAGUAUUCGACGCAGUACCCACCGGGAGAAGCAGAGGCAGACUCCACUCCGUUGGAAGGACCAAGUGGAGAAGGACCUGGCUUCGCUUGGAAUAUCCAAUUGGCGCCACGUUGCGAAAAGAAGAAACGACUGGCGCGCGGUUGUUAACUCGGCUAUAAUCGCGUAAGCGGUGUCUACGCCAAUUAAGAAAAAGAAGAAUUUUCAGAAUUAUAAUUUUUAUAUUGAAGUAAACUUAAUCUUAUAUUAUAUUUGAUUUUAAUAAAAAAAUUGACAUUUUCUGCCGAAUGUAAUAAUA